rnacentral:rRNA from 1 species
UGGGGAAUCUUGCGCAAUGGGCGAAAGCCUGACGCAGCGACGCCGCGUGAGCGAUGAAGGCCUUCGGGUUGUAAAGCUCUGUGGAGAGGAAAGAAUAAGGGCAAGCUAAUACCUUGUCUGAUGACGGUACCUCUUUAGCAAGCACCGGCUAACUCUGUGCCAGCAGCCGCGGUAAGACAGAGGGUGCAAACGUUGUUCGGAAUUACUGGGCGUAAAGCGCGUGUAGGUGGCUACGCAAGUCGGGUGUGAAAACCCACGGCUCAACCGUGGAAGUGCACUCGAAACUGCGCGGCUAGAGUCCUGGAGAGGAAGGUGGAAUACUUGGUGUAGAGGUGAAAUUCGUAGAUAUCAGGUAGAACACCGGUGGCGAAGGCGGCCUUGUGUACAGUGACUGUCACUGAGACGCGAAAGCGUGGGGAGCAAACA